ACGUACGGCCAUAGAUACUGGAAAGCACGGGAUCCCGUCCGCUCUCCCUUAGUUAAACCAGUAAUCGGCGGAUUAGUAGUUGGGUCGGUGACGACCAGCGAAUACCCGCUGCUGUACGUU
rfam:Grosmannia clavigera kw1407 unplaced genomic scaffold GCSC_156, whole genome shotgun sequence.